GAUGAACGCUGGCGGCGUGCUUAACACAUGCAAGUCGAACGAUGAACCCGGAGCUUGCUCCGGUGGAUUAGUGGCGAACGGGUGAGUAACACGUGAGUAACCUGCCCUUGACUCUGGGAUAACUGCGGGAAACUGUAGCUAAUACCGGAUACGACCCUCGGCGGCAUCGCCAGGGGGUGGAAAGAAUUUCGGUCAAGGAUGGACUCGCGGCCUAUCAGCUAGUUGGUGAGGUAACGGCUCACCGAGGCGACGACGGGUAGCCGGCCUGAGAGGGUGACCGGCCACACUGGGACUGAGACACGGCCCAGACUCCUACGGGAGGCAGCAGUGGGGAAUAUUGCACAAUGGGCGCAAGCCUGAUGCAGCGACGCCGCGUGAGGGAUGACGGCCUUCGGGUUGUAAACCUCUUUCAGCACCGACGAAGCGCAAGUGACGGUAGGUGCAGAAGAAGGACCGGCCAACUACGUGCCAGCCGCCGCAGUAA
rnacentral:rRNA from 1 species